rnacentral:misc_RNA from 1 species
UGCUGCUGGUGUAGAUUUGAUGACUC